ensembl:lncRNA
AUUAUGAAUAGCUGCCUCUAAAAAACAUGAUCAUGUUGAGAGCUUGUGGGUUAAAAACAGGUACCAGACCAAUAAACAACAUCUGAUCAUCAAGGCCUACUACAGGCCUGUUGGUGAGUUCUUCCUUCAACUGUAAGAAUAAUCCACACUCACAGGCUCUCAUCCUGAUGGGGGAUUUCAAUGACCUGAAUGUCUGCUGGGAAAGCAAUACAACAGGUUGCAAGCAAUCCAGAAGGCUCCUGGAACAUAUUGAGGAAAAGUUCCUGGUCCAGGUAUUAUAUUAACCUACCAAAUGAGAGGGUACCACCUCUGAUACAUGAGACAGGAGGAAUAAUAACAAAGGACAAGGCAAAGGCCGAGGUAUUCAGUGAGUUCUUUGUCUCAGUCCUCACUGGCAAUCAGAUUUCCUAUGUCUCUCACAUCCCUGUACCUCUAGACGGAGGUUAGGGGAGCAAAAUUCCUUCCACUGAAAGAAAAGUGCAGGUUCAAGACCAUCUGCUGAGACUAAACAUGUACAAGUAUAUGGAACCCAAUGAAAUGCAUCCCAGAGUCCUGAAGGAACUGGGUGAUGUGAUGGCCAAGCCACUCUCCAUCAUAUUCAAAUAGUCAUGGUUGUCAUCUGAUGUCCCCAGUGACAUGAAAAAGAAAACAUUACUCCCAUUUUUAUGAAAGACAGAAAGGAAGAUUCAAGAAAAUACAGGCUGGUGAGCUUAACUUCUGUUCUUGGGAAGAUCAUGGAGCAGAUCCUCCUGGAUCAUCCUGGAAUUUUAAGGCACAUGCAAAACAAGGAAGUGAUCCAAGACAGCCAGCACAGCUUCACCAUGGAUGGAUUGUGCCUGAUCAGUCUGAGAUGGCAGUGGAAUGUGAAAUGAAAGAACUGCGAAACAAACAAAAGACUGAUGCAGAUAGUUCACAUGGUAAGCAAGCCACAAAAAGAGCAACGUGAUGGAAAUCAUAUUCUGAGACAGACUCUUAAUAACUCAGACACUCUGAAUUACUUUUCAAAAGGAAGUGGUUAUUUCCGUGGGGGGGUUGGUGUAGGAUGUCAACUAUCACGUGAUAUUUCACUACAUUUACAUUUACAGCCUUUUGGAAGUCAAUUAUUAUUGUCAAAAAAAUAUAUAAAAUAUACUUUAUCCAUUUCUGAAAAUUGCCAUAAUGGGAUUGAGAGAACAUAACCUUACAUUUGUAUCCUCCUAGCAGAAUGUGUUUUUCAGUAUUUCCUGUCAACAGUGGGACUAGUUCAGUAUUGAAGAACUAAAGGCAGGACUGUGCUGGAAUCAGAAUGGAAGUGAGAUGCAGUGCAUGGAUGGACAUGAGCUGUUAUGCAAGAUCAGUCAAGAUGCACUGGUAAUCAGCUUGCUUGUUCAGACUUCUGUGUCUUUGCUAACAUCAACCAGGAAUAUGACAACUGGGGGUGUGAACUUUUCCCUCAUCCAUUUGCCUUUCUCAUUCCUUCCCAAAUCCUCCUCACUUAAACCCUAAUUGUAGUCCUCUUUCAGCAUAUUCCCUUCCUUAUCUACAAUUAGCACUGAAAAUAAAAUGAGAAAGUUCUGACU